rnacentral:rRNA from 1 species
AGAGUUUGAUCCUGGCUCAGAUUGAACGCUGGCGGUAGGCUUAACACAUGCAAGUCGAGCGGAAACGAAGGUAGCUUGCUAUCAGGCGUCGAGCGGCGGACGGGUGAGUAACGCGAUAGUUAAUCUGCCCUUUAGAAGGGGGAUAACAGUUAGAAAUGACUGCUAAUACCUCAUACUCCUUCUUCCUUAAUGGUAGUUGGGAAAUGUUUUUUCGCUAAAGGAUGAGACUAUAUGGUAUCAGGUAGUUGGUGGGGUAAGAGCCUACCAAGCCAAUGACGCCUAGCCGGUCUGAGAGGAUGAUCAGCCACACUGGAACUGAGACACGGUCCAGACAUCUACGGAUGGCAGCAGUGGGGAAUAUUGCACAAUGGACGAAAGUCUGAUGCAGCAACGCCGCGUGGAGGAUGACACAUUUCGGUGCGUAAACUCCUUUUAUAUGAGAAGAUAAUGACGGUAUCAUAUGAAUAAGCACCGGCUAACUCCGUGCCAGCAGCCGCGGUAAUACGGAGGGUGCAAGCGUUAUUCGGAAUCACUGGGCGUAAAGGGUGCGUAGGCGGUUUGGUAAGUCUGAUGUGAAAUCCUAUGGCUCAACCAUAGAACUGCAUUGGAAACUGCUAAACUAGAAUACUGAAGGGGCAGAUGGAAUUAGUGGUGUAGGGGUAAAAUCCGUAGAUAUCACUAGGAAUACCGAAAGCGAAAGAGAUCUGCUGGGAAGUUAUUGACGCUGAGGCACGAAAGCGUGGGGAGCAAACGGGAUUAGAUACCCCGGUAGUCCACGCCCUAAACGAUGAAUGCUAGUCGUCGGAAAGCUCGUCUUUUCGGUGAUGCAGUUAACACAUUAAGCAUUCCGCCUGGGGAGUACGGUCGCAAGAUUAAAACUCAAAGGAAUAGACGGUGACCCGCACAAGUGGUGGAGCAUGUGGUUUAAUUCGAAGAUACGCGAAGAACCUUACCAAGCCUUGACAUUGAUUGAAUUCUGUAGAGAACAGAAGUGCCUUUCGAGGAACAUGAAAACAGGUGCUGCACGGCUGUCGUCAGCUCGUGUCGUGAGAUGUUGGGUUAAGUCCCGCAACGAGCGCAACCCUCGUCGUUAGUUGCUAACAGUUCGGCUGAGCACUCUAGCGAGACUGCCUUCGCAAGGAGGAGGAAGGUGAGGACGACGUCAAGUCAUCAUGGCCCUUAUGGCUUGGGCUACACACGUGCUACAAUGGGGCGUACAGAGAGUUGCGAUACCGCGAGGUGGAGCUAAUCUCAUAAAGCGUCUCUCAGUUCGGAUUGGACUCUGCAACUCGAGUCUAUGAAGUUGGAAUCACUAGUAAUCGUAGAUCAGCAAUGCUACGGUGAAUACGUUCCCGGGUCUUGUACUCACCGCCCGUCACACCAUGGGAGUUGGCUGCAAAAGAAGUAGGUAGUCUAACCUUCGGGAGGACGCUUACCACUUUGUGGUUAAUGACUGGGGUGAAGUCGUAACAAGGUAGCC